UACGAAGGGGGCUAGCGUUGCUCGGAAUCACUGGGCGUAAAGCGCACGUAGGCGGCUUUUUAAGUCAGGGGUGAAAUCCCGGAGCUCAACUCCAGAACUGCCUUUGAUACUGGGAAGCUUGAGUCCGGAAGAGGUGAGUGGAACUCCGAGUGUAGAGGUGAAAUUCGUAGAUAUUCGGAAGAACACCAGUGGCGAAGGCGGCUCACUGGUCCGGUACUGACGCUGAGGUGCGAAAGCGUGGGGAGCAAACAGG
rnacentral:rRNA from 1 species